rnacentral:rRNA from 2 species
GAUCUUCUCCUUCAUGGGAGAUGAUUGAAAGAUGGUUUCGGCUAUCACUUACAGAUGGGCCCGCGGUGCAUUAGCUAGUUGGUGAGGUAACGGCUCACCAAGGCAACGAUGCAUAGCCGACCUGAGAGGGUGAUCGGCCACACUGGGACUGAGACACGGCCCAGACUCCUACGGGAGGCAGCAGUAGGGAAUCUUCCGCAAUGGACGAAAGUCUGACGGAGCAACGCCGCGUGAGUGAUGAAGGCUUUCGGGUCGUAAAACUCUGUUGUUAGGGAAGAACAAGUACAAGAGUAACUGCUUGUACCUUGACGGUACCUAACCAGAAAGCCACGGCUAACUACGUGCCAGCAGCCGCGGUAAUACGUAGGUGGCAAGCGUUAUCCGGAAUUAUUGGGCGUAAAGCGCGCGCAGGCGGUUUCUUAAGUCUGAUGUGAAAGCCCACGGCUCAACCGUGGAGGGUCAUUGGAAACUGGGGAACUUGAGUGCAGAAGAGAAAAGCGGAAUUCCACGUGUAGCGGUGAAAUGCGUAGAGAUGUGGAGGAACACCAGUGGCGAAAGCGGCUUUUUGGUCUGUAACUGACGCU